rnacentral:sRNA from 1 species
AACUACAAAGUGAAUAAUAAAAAUGCUCAUAAUCGAGUUUUAGUUCUUUUUUAAACGUCUCCAGCUUUGUUGCUAAGAGGACGUAUUU